AAUGAACGCUGGCGGCGUGCAUGGGACAUGCAAGUCGAACGGACGAUCAGGGCUUGCUCUGAUCGUUAGUGGCGGACGGCUGAGUAACGCGUAGGUGACCUGCCCCGAAGUGGGGGAUAACUGCCCGAAAGGGUGGCUAAUACCGCAUGUGGUGGUUCGUUCAGUCGAACCAUCAAAGCAGCGAUGCGCUUCGGGAGGGGCCUGCGUCCGAUUAGCUCGUUGGUGGGGUAACGGCUCACCAAGGCGACGAUCGGUAGGUGGUCUGAGAGGACGAUCACCCAGACUGGGACUGAGACACGGCCCAGACUCCUACGGGAGGCAGCAGUCGGGAAUUUUGCGCAAUGGACGAAAGUCUGACGCAGCAACGCCGCGUGAGGGAUGACGGCCUUCGGGUUGUAAACCUCUUUUCUCAGGGACGAUGAUGACGGUACCUGAGGAAGAAGCCACGGCUAACUACGUGCCAGCCGCCGCAGUAA
rnacentral:rRNA from 1 species